UGAAGACUCAAAGAUAGAAGAAACAUUCAGAGUCAAACAUGAAGAUACUGAGACACACACAGACCUGAUGGUGCUGAAAGAGGAGGGUCAAGAACUGAUUGAAAUGGAAGAUAAAUAUCAAUAUAAGAAUCAACACGAUUUUACAACUGGAGAAACACCUUUGAGUUGCUCACAGACUGAAAUAAGUUCCUCAAGAAAAAUGGAUCAAAAGACAGGAAGUAGUAGUUAUUUCACCUGCCAACAGUGUGGAAAGUGUAUAAGUAAAAAAGGAGGUAUUAAAAAGACAUAUGAGAACUCACAUAGGAGAGAAGCCUUAUGCCUGCCAACAGUGUGGAAAACAUUUCAGUAAAAAAGAAGCUAUUAAAACACACAUGAGAAUUCACACAGGAGAGAAGCCUUACACAUGUCCUCAGUGUGGAAAGAGUUUCAGUCAAAAAGUAACUCUUAAAAGCCACAUUAGAAUUCACACUGGAGAGAGGCCUUUCAUAUGCCCUCAGUGUGGAAAGAGUUUCACUCAUUCUGGAAACCUUGGAGACCACAUGAGUGUUCACACUGGAGAGAAGCCUUAUUCCUGCCAACAGUGUGGAAGAAGUUUCAACCGGAAAAAGUAGUCUUAAUUGCCAUAUGAAAGUUCACAGUGGAGAGAGUCUUUUCACCUGCCAACAGUGUGGAAUAAGUUUCAGUCAAAAAGGAAGCUUUAACCAACACAUGAGAAUUCACAAUGGAGAGCAGCCUUACACCUGCCAACAGUGUGGAAAUAGUUUUGAUCAACAUGAAAAUCUUGAAGUCCAUAUGAGAACUCAUAGAGAAAAACCCUACAUAUGCCCUCUGUGUGGAAAGAGUCUCAGUCAAAAACGACACUUUGAAAACCACAUGAGAAUUCACUCUGAAGAUCAACCCUACACAUGCACUCAGUGCGGAAAGAGUUUCAAUUACAAACGACACUUUGAAGACCACAUAAGAAUUCACACAGGAGAGAAGCCUUUCAUCUGCCAACAAUGUGGAAAAUGUUUUAAUCUAAAGGGAAGCCUUAAUAGGCACAUGAGACUUCACACAGGAGAGAAGCCAUUUACAUGUGGUCACUGUGGAAAGAGUUU